rnacentral:rRNA from 1 species
UACGUAGGGCGCAAGCGUUAUCCGGAAUUAUUGGGCGUAAAGAGCUCGUAGGCGGUUUGUCGCGUCUGCCGUGAAAGUCCGGGGCUCAACUCCGGAUCUGCGGUGGGUACGGGCAGACUAGAGUGAUGUAGGGGAGACUGGAAUUCCUGGUGUAGCGGUGAAAUGCGCAGAUAUCAGGAGGAACACCGAUGGCGAAGGCAGGUCUCUGGGCAUUAACUGACGCUGAGGAGCGGAAAGCAUGGGGAG